GGGGCUGAUUCUGGAUUCGACGGGAUUUGCGAAACCCAAGGUGCAUGCCGAGGGGCGGUUGGCCUCGUAAAAAGCCGCAAAAAAUAGUCGCAAACGACGAAAACUACGCUUUAGCAGCUUAAUAACCUGCUUAGAGCCCUCUCUCCCUAGCCUCCGCUCUUAGGACGGGGAUCAAGAGAGGUCAAACUCAAAAGAGAUCGCGUGGAAGCCCUGCCUGGGGUUGAAGCGUUAAAACUUAAUCAGGCUAGUUUGUUAGUGGCGUGUCCGUCCGCAGCUGGCAAGCGAAUGUAAAGACUGACUAAGCAUGUAGUACCGAGGAUGUAGGAAUUUCGGACGCGGGUUCAACUCCCGCCAGCUCCACCA
rnacentral:tmRNA from 1 species